UUAACAUGCAAUGUCUAUAUAUACUUAAUUCUCAUUAUGUUGGUAUUGACAUAUAAACAUAGGAUUUUAAAUCCAUAUCACACAUAUAUAUUGUUGUAUCAGCACUAAUGUGGUGAAAAUUAUAUAAGUACCACACAUACUAAAAAAUUUUGGUAUAGAUUUAACAUCCCUGUGUGGGUUUAACACUACGGUGUCUAUAUAAUUCUUUUCAUGUUAAAUUAACACCAACAUGAUAUAUUUAAAACCGCUGGUGUUUAUAUUAACAUUAUCAUGAUAUAGAUUUAACACCAUGAAACCUAUGGUGUCAAAUUCACACCGUGUUGAUAUUAAUUUAACAUCAAUACAGUGAGAUUAUAUAGAUACUGCAUGAUGUUAAGUUCACACCGCUAUUUUUUAGAGUGCAUGAUAUCACCUUAUAUUUUUUAAAGUGUAACGUUUAAUGAUAUUUUAUUAAUGUUAUAUUAAUUCAAUCUUAAUAUUCAUUAUUAAUAUACUGAAUUGUUGAAACGCGCGAAGCAAGACGAUCGAUCUCGUUGUAUUAUUUUAAUUCUCAUCAGUCUCUUAUUUUAUAGGUUUAAGUUAUACAUUUAACUAUUACUGGUUUCUAACGUGUUCGCUGUUCGGUGGUGUUGGCAUCAGCACUUUGCUAGUCUGCCAAGACUUGGCGCUCUGCGACGUGCUUGGAAAUCAAUUUGCGCAUCACUCUUACAGAUUGUUGUCUACUAUCGUCGGACUGAGCGUGCUAGCUUUCUGCUUUGUACACAACGAGAACAUAUGCCUUCGCAUAGUCGCAUUGCUGCAAUUUCUCGGUGGAUGCUACUGGAUCGUGCCACCCAUCUGGGAAAUCAUACGUGCGGGAAGGCUGAGAGAGGGCUAACAAAAAUCAUUAUAUGCUGCAAUUCGUCAAUAUUUACGUUAACAUUGACAAUAAAAAUGCGACGAUUUCUUAAAUGCCUUUCAAUAAUAAGAAAUAUUCUUCUGGAGUAAUCGUAAGAAUGCGAGUACGAAUAUUUCGUAUGUAAUUUGUGUAAUUGGAAUACGUAAUUAUUUAAUCCUUUACGUCAUACAUCGAUUUGUGAAUUGCAGUUGAUUUUGAAUUAUCAA